UGGCACAAGCAAAUAAUUAAAACUUUUAACAACGGAUCUCUUGGUUCUGGCAUCGAUGAAGAACGCAGCGAAAUGCGAUAAGUAAUGUGAAUUGCAGAAUUCAGUGAAUCAUCGAAUCUUUGAACGCACAUUGCGCUCGCCAGCAUUCUGGCGAGCAUGCCUGUUCGAGCGUCAUUUCAAC
rnacentral:rRNA from 1 species